rnacentral:rRNA from 1 species
GACGAACGCUGGCGGCGUGCUUAACACAUGCAAGUCGAACGGAAAGGCCUGCUUUCCCUUGUGGAUUGCGGGUACUCGAGUGGCGAACGGGUGAGUAACACGUGAGUGAUCUGCCCCCAACUUGGGUAUAAGCCUGGGAAACUGGGUCUAAUUCCCGAUAGGACUGCAGGGUGGUGCCUGUGGUGGGAAACGAUUUUCUAGUGGUUGGGGAUGAGCUCGCGGCCUAUCAGCUUGUUGGUGGGGUAAUGGCCUACCAAGGCGGCGACGGGUAGCCGGCCUGAGAGGGUGGACGGCCACAGUGGGACUGAGAUACGGCCCAGACUCCUACGGGAGGCAGCAGUGGGGAAUAGUGCACAAUGGGCGGAAGCCUGAUGCAGCGACGCCGCGUGGGGGAUGACGGCCUUCGGGUUGUAAACUCCUUUCGACCGCGAGGAAGCCACCUGGCUGGAAGGGUGGUGACGGUAGUGGUAGAAGAAGCACCGGCUAACUACGUG